rnacentral:lncRNA from 1 species
UCCAUACCAAAUGAUUAUAACAUUAUGCUCAAACAUAUAUAAGCCAUUUUCGCAUGGCUAUCCAAAAUUAUACAAAUCCAAAGGGUCCAUGACCCACUAUAAAAAGGGUAGUCCUAUACAUGCCAUUUUCAGAGUUCAACCAAAAGUGUACCAAAAGGGCUUUGAUAGUGUGGGCGACUUCGACUUCAAUAAUCCCGAGUCCGAUAGCUGACGAACCAAAAUCUAUAAAACAGAGAUUCAAAGAACGGAGUAAGCAUUUAAUGCUUAGUAAGUUUUAAGCAAGACAAAGUGUUCUCAAUCACUAUUAUUGGUCAUUCAUUUCAACUGUUCGAUGAAGUUAAUCUAGAGCUUCAUCUCGAUCUAUAAUAUCAUUAAACGCAACACUUGACUGCCACAUAUAUACUUUCGAAUAAUAAUGUCCUAGAUGGUCAAAUAUUUCCAAAGCACAUUCUCACAUUUGGAGUUAUAAUAUUAAUCACAUUUACCUACCUCUUUGAUACUGAUAAUUCACCUCGAAAUCACUCCACCGAUGAGUAAGUAAUACGUAUGUGAACAUCUUGAAUACAUAAUACUUAUUUGAUGGUAACUUAAUGCAGAUACUCAAUAUCAAAGUCUUACUUGAAUCCUAGCAUUUAGCCGUCGGGUCUUUAAAGCUCGGAUAUAGUACGAGCACGAAGCCUACGGACAUUAAUCAGGAUAAUACUCUCGCAUAAAGCCUGCGGGGUUUUAACCCGGAUAUAGCACUGACAUAAUUGCCCUUCGGGACUUAUCACAUUUAUACACUUUCACAUCCAUCACGUUGGCCACUCGGCCCUGUCACAUAUAUACACUUUCACAUUCAUCAUAUCGGCCAUUAGGCCUCAUCACAUAUAUACACUUUCACAUUCAUCACAUCGGCUAUUAGGCCUUAUCACAUAUAUACACUUUCACAUUCAUCACAUCGGCCAUUAGGCCUUAUCACAUAUAUACACUUUCACAUUCAUCACAUUGGCCAUUCGGCCUUAUCACAUAUAUACACUUUCACAUUCAUCACAUCGGCCAUUAGGCCUUAUCACAUAUAUAUACAUUCACAUCACAAUUAUCCAAAUAUACUUCACAUAUCACAUAUACUAUCAUGUAUACACUUUGUCUUGGCUGAAUCUACAUUAAUCAUUUCCCAAUGAAUAAUUCAAUUUCACGCCAUACUAUCAUUUCAUAUUCGAAUACUCAUAAACUUACAAUUUCACAAAUUUUAAUAUCAAAGAUCCAUCUAACACUCAUGUAUCGUUUUACAAUAUCACGAUUUAGAAUUCACGUCUGGGUUUAAUCAAUAGCUUAUGAGUAACUAAAACAAGUUUUAUCCAUGUUUACAACAAAAUCACAUAUUCACUACGAGCUGUUUUCCUGAGCAGUAGUCACUAAAUUAUUUAUAACUGGAGCUACAAAACUCCAAAUCACUUGCCGUUAAUUUUCCCCGAAUAUAGACUCGUAUAUCUUCCAUCCAUAAAAUUUUCAGAAUUUUAGGUUUGGCCAAUCAAUACCAGAUUUUUCUUAAAGUUUCCCCUGUUUCACUGUUUGACUAAUCUGACCACUCUUCACUACGAAUCAAAUUUAUCAUUUUACAGAAUUAAAAAUGUGUUGUAUUUGAUUUCAUUUGAAACUAGACUCAUUAAGGAGUCUAAGCAUAUAAAUUUUAUCUUAUAACCAUUUUUGUACAAUUUAUAAUGAUUUUCUAAAAACAGAACAGGGGAUUUCGGAGUCAUUCUGACACCGUCUCACACAACUUUAAAUAUCUCUUUAUAGGAAAUUUGUUUGCUCACAAGGUCUCUUUUAUAAGAAACUAGACUAAUUAAGCCUUGAUUACAUAUUUUAUUCAGCCUAUAAUUCCACACCAACAAUUUAUAGUGAUUUUCUAAAAUCACGUUACUGCUGCUGUCCAAAGCAAAUUAUUACAAUUUGCUCUUAACUUUCCAAGUCCAAACACAUAUGAACUUACCAUUUGAGUUUAAGACAUAUCAUGGCCACAUCAUAUCUUAUUAAAUCAACUCAUUAUGUCCUAUUAUGAUUGAAUUUACUCAACGUUUAAUCACUUAAAACUUACCUCGGAAGCGGUUGACGACUAGAUAUCCACGGCUAUUCGUCUACUUUCUCUUUUCCCCUAUCCGACUUUGAUCCUCUUUGCUCUUGGGCUUAAUUUAAACGAAUGAAUUUGUUUAAUCAUUUCGAACAUUAAAAGCUCUUUUAAAGCACUUAACCCUUAUACUCAAUAAUGAACCAAACCAUAUAGCUAAUUAUUUUAUCACAUCACCUCAAGCACAUAUAUUAACUAUCAUACACCCAAUUCACAUGCCAAGUUGCAAAUAAAAAAAAUGCAUACACACCAAUAAUUUAAUUACUCAUUUCAACCUUAUAGGGUAACUUCAAUGCAUUAUGUAUAUACCAUUUGCCAUACACGUACCACAUUUUUAACAAGCCGAAAUUACUCCUACAUAUUAUCCAUUAUAAUUAUUUCAUAGAUAUAAAACAUAGCUGGAAAAUCUUUAGCCUAAAUGCGUAUAAUAACACCCAAAUCAUCAACUAUUUUAACGAACAUGACACAUAAGAUUAACUAAAACUCCAUUCAAUUUUUAAGGUAUUAACCCUACUAAACUCAUACCAUGACCAUAUCUAAUCGAAUUCAAGUAGAGGAUUAAUUACAACCAUGUACACCAAUAUAUAAUUAUAACAUGUUUUGAUAUCUUAUAUAUCCCAUUCGGCCCUAACCACACAACUUAGCUUUUAUAAUAAACCUUAUCUUAACCGAAUGUACAUAUAUAUACUCAAAAUAUCAUUCGAUUUCAAAGGCAUAUUAACACCAUAUAACCGAAUGUUCAUAGACUAAUAUACAUAUACUCAUAAAUCCAACUUUAAAAACUCAUACUUAUACAUAGCAUAUAACCGAAAAUACUUCAUGAAUCCACCUACAUUUACAUUAUUAUCAUAUAUAGAAUUUGCAUUUACUAUCAAAUAACAACUUAACUUACUUUCAAUUAGGUAAUCAAAUACCUCAUACCCAAUCAUUUAACAACUAAAAUAAUAAACCACAACAUUUAAAUUCAUCUUAUUCUUCUCCCAUUUGACCGAAUGAACAUUUGUCUAUUGAUGCAUGAAAUUAAACCAUGGGUUAAAUAAGCUAUGCACUUAUCAAUCUAAUCUCAUAGUCAAUUAAAAAGAAAAUCACAAUGCAUACCUUAAACUAGGAUAGCCAUGGCCGAA